GGAGUAUGUGGCUUAAUUUGACUCAACGCGGAAAAGCUUAUCUGGUCCGGACGCAGUGAGGAUUGACAGACAGUUUCAGGAGUGGUUCUUGGUAAACAAUUGAGAGAGUUGAAGUUCUUUCAUGAUCUUGUGAGAGGUGGUGCAUGGCCGUUCUUAGUUCGUGUAGUGAUAUGUCUGCCUAAUCGCGUCACGAUAACCUAUUGGUCGACAACCCAAUUAUCACAACUGCAGCAUAACUCCCCUUGGGUGGGCGAGGCUCUGUGUAGGAUAGACCUCUGAACAGUACGCAACGAACGCGAUCGUAAUCCCUUGUUGAGUGGCCAUCCUGUAAGCUGCUGGAUUAGGAACCCAGUGGUAUUAUCUCAGCCACAGAUUUUCUGGUUGUAAUGGGCCAGUUUUGAAACUCGGGGAACAUCUGUGACUUUCUUUCUUAACGCAGAGGAAGGUUAUGGCAAUAACAGG
rnacentral:rRNA from 1 species